ensembl:lncRNA
GUGUGUGUGUGUGUGUGUGUGUGAGAGAGUGUUUGGAGCGGUUCAAUCACCAUCUGUUGAGCAGUCCACCACCUCGUCCCAAGCCUGUCCCUCUUUGUUCCUGCUCACCCAUGCCACUGGAAAUAGGACAUUCAAUAACCAUAAAUCAAUCAAGCCCUCCGGACGAGGUGGAAUUAUGAAUUCUCACCCAUGUGGAGGCGAGCGGCGGCCUCUAAACUUCCCUCGCGUGUCACCAGAUGGUCAAAGAACAAUAGGCACUGGCAUGAAGAUGAGGUGGUCAAGCAUGAUCUCUGACACCAAGGACCGCUGCUUAUUCCGUCGCCUUCCAUCGGUCAAAUUGAACUUUAAGCACUAAGAAACACUGUGCAUUAGUCUAAUAAUCACACACAUCUCUUUAAUAAACUAUUGAGUGUUUUUUUGCGUCUUGUGCUGUACGUGCUUGUGCUGUACGUCCUUGUGUGUGUGUUUUCGUUUUUUUUUUUAUUGCCCAAGGAGGGACGUGUUGUCUCCCAGGUCCGGCUCCAGUCAGUACUGCAGUGGAUUAGUCAGCUGCAUUUAGUGCAGAGGCAGAGCAGCAGCUUCGGGGCCGUCGUGCGAGUGUCCGAUCUUCAAGAUGCAGCGCAUCUACAUGCACAGCAAUGAACACUUUGAAGUCUUCACCACUGUCCUUGCUCCUCAAGGGAGGCAUCGGUACAGAGCAGAAGCGGAGACGAUGGUAGUAGUGCACAGCUACCGGCCAAACUGGCCCGACGAGCUGGAGCUGUCUCUGGGUGACGUCAUCCUGGUGCUGCCCAAGCGCGAGGAGGAGAGGUGGUACGGGCGGCUGCAGGGCGGCCAGCAGGGAUACUUCCCCGCCUCCUGUGUGAUGGAGCUGAGCCAGGCGAACCUUCCUCCCAAAGCCCUACGGAGGUCUUUGUCUCUGAGGGGCUCGGCGAGCGACGACUCAGGUGUACGCGGCGGGAAUGGACACAUUGGGCAGGCCCUGCGGAGGGGCAGCAGAGGAGUUGGAGGAGGAACGGUGCUGGACGGGGGCCAAGGUGAGAACGAGGGCCCCUUGCAGGCGAGGAGGCCCCGGAUCACUGUGCCGCAGCCCGUGGCCUCCCAACCUGCGACACACAGAUCCCCGAGUCUGCUCCACAGGAUCUUGUCCAAAUGCCGGAAAAAGAGUGAAUGCCGGGGCGCCACCAACGGGGCCUUCGAGGGCGACUAA